CCUGGCUCAGAACGAACGCUGGCGGCGCGCCUAAUACAUGCAAGCCGAGCGAGAAGACGUAGCAAUACGUUUGUAAAGCGGCGAACGGGUGAGGAAUACAUGGGUAACCUACCCUCGAGUGGGGAAUAACUAGCCGAAAGGUUAGCUAAUACCGCGUACGCUCCUUGGACUUCGGUUCAGGGAGGAAAGCGAUACCGUGGGUAUCGCGCUCUUGGAUGGGCUCAUGUCCUAUCAGCUUGUUGGUGAGGUAACGGCUCACCAAGGCUUCGACGGGUAGCUGGUCUGAGAGGACGAUCAGCCACACUGGCACUGCGACACGGGCCAGACUCCUACGGGAGGCAGCAGUAAGGAAUAUUGCGCAAUGGGCGAAAGCCUGACGCAGCGACGCCGCGUGGGGGAUGAAGGUCUUCGGAUUGUAAACCCCUUUCGGGAGGGAAGAUGGAACGAGCAAUCGUUCGGACAGUACCUCCAGAAGCAGCCACGGCUAACUUCGUGCCAGCAGCCGCGGUAAUACGAAGGUGGCAAGCGUUGUUCGGAUUUACUGGGCGUACAGGGAGCGUAGGCGGUUCGGUAAGCCCUCUGUGAAAUCUCCAGGCUUAACCUGGAACAGUCGGAGGGGACUGCUGGGCUAGAGGACGGGAGAGGAGCGCGGAAUUCCCGGUGUAGCGGUGAAAUGCGUAGAGAUCGGGAAGAAGGCC
rnacentral:rRNA from 1 species